UUCUAUUUUGGAGCGGGUAACCCUGACAUUAGUUAGAAUGAAAUUAUUGAAUCUUCAACUGGCAUAUUCCUUUUGAGUUAGUUUGGGAAAUUAUUUGAAAAAGGAUGGUAUUUAUUUUUCAAAAAUUUACACCCCAUAACUAACUAAUACACUAUAUUUAUCAUAAAUAAAUAAUUAUAAUACAUAGCUAUACGUUGAGUUUUAUAGAAAAUACCCACUUUCAAAUUCCAUCUCAACUACAACAUCUCUAUGCACCAAACCCAAAUCACAAGUGCCACUUUUUUCAUUACCUGCUUCCCAAAUAAUUCAAUCUCAGCCGUCGCUGCUGCUCUGCCGGUCUCGUCUGUUGCUGCUACUCCGUCGGCAAAGCUUCGUCCUCUUCGGCAAACGGCCAUCACUGACCAAUGUUUGGCUACAGUGAAGGAUCUCUCAGAUUUGGCCGGAUUUUCAAGUGGUAAAUAUAGUGUAUUCUUAGAUCUGGCUGGAUUUUUGUUUGUCUCUCGUGAUGAAAAGCCUCGAAGUCUCAUUCUCAGAUUUGGCCGGAUUUUGAUAUGACCGGAUUUCAAAAGGUGAAUAUAGAGUAAAUAUAUGGAUUUUAGUUCAUCUCUGGUGACUUGAAGCUUGGAAGCCUCAUUCUCCGAUCACUGGAUUUUCAAAUGAUAAAUAUUGUAUAUAUAGUGUAUUCUAGAAUAUGGAGGAAUAUUUAUUCGUCUCCAUUUUAAGUAUAUAUACAGUGUAUACAAUAUUUUGCUUGGCCGAAAAAUGCCAUCUAAGACUAACUUUCUUCUCUUCUCUGGCUGUAUACAUUGAGAAUGUAGUUGUAUUUGGUUGUAUUUGACUUUAUUUAUCGAUAUUGUUACUUUUUGAUACAGUGUAUAAUUGAACUA